rnacentral:rRNA from 1 species
AGUGUAGGCGGUUUGACAAGUCGGGUGUGAAAUCCCAGGGCCCAACCCUGGAACUGCAUCCGAUACUGUCAGGCUAGAAUUCCGGAGAGGGUGGCGGAAUUCCCGGUGUAGGGGUGAAAUCCGUAGAUAUCGGGAGGAACACCAGUGGCGAAGGCGGCCACCUGGACGGUAAUUGACGCUCAGACUCGAAAGCGUGGGUAGCAAACA